AUCAAAAUUGAAAUUUUGUGGAUUUAACUAUGAAUAUGUUAGCCUUAAGGUUAUCUUUAAGCUAGCAUGCUCCAAAACAAUGACAAAAUUCACAUUUAGAAGAUUGUGAGAUAUACAUUCAUAGGUGUCGAUGUAUGUCCCCCCUCCCAUAUAUAUAUAUAUAUAAAAUAAUGUGAAACAUUUUAACAGACUCAACAAAUAACUCAUCUUGCUCCAGAUCUUAAGUUACAAAAAUGGAGCUUAGACACAAGAAAUUUGUGUAAAACAUAUUGACAGCUUCUGUAGGCUGUAAGCAAAAACCUCUCCAUAAGCAAAUGAUAACUUAAAACAGUUAACAUGCUCACUCAACAAUUAUUUAAAAUCCAGCCAAUAAUUUGUCUUGUUCCAGAACUUCAGUUACAGAAACAGAGCUGUAGACACAAUAAAUUCACAUGAAACAUAUUGAGAGCUUCUAUAGGCUAUAAGAAACAUAUUAUACACACUAAGUGUGCUCACUUAUAAUAUGCAUGGUAGAUAUUGCGACCCACGAUAUCCACCAAUAUGAGAGGUUCCUGAAUUUCAAUAGAUUUUUUGAUUGGUUACAAUUAACAGAGACUCUCUCGUGUUUUUCGGAUCGGGAUGGUGCCUAUGUAUACAUUCAAAAUUUACAGUUUCUCUCUACUACCAGUAUGGAUCUUGGCCUUUAUAAAACCCAAAAUAGACAUUGAAAAUUGGGCUUUUUAGUCUGUCUGAUUUGGUCCAAAUUUAACCCAAGAUGGAUGUCUGUUUUGGACCACAUAUAGCCUUAAUACAGCCAUAAAAAUAAGAUCACAUUGCAGCAAGUGGGGAAUUAUAUCUCAGUUAAAGCGUGUGGUAUGUUGUGUACAUUACACCCAAAUUAGUGUUUUUGAACAUAAUCACUGCUGUUCAAAAACUUAAAUAUAUUUAUAUAAAUAUAAAUGUUUAAAAUAUGUCAUACAAAUAACUUGACGUUACUGCUAUUUAAUGAAAUUUAUCUAUAAAAAUGUAUUUUCCCGCUGCUUCCUGAAUCACGAAAUCAUGACUGACACACGCACACACACGAUACGAAUUUGAAGUGACAGCAGUACAGAACACCAGAGCGACUUGUUGCGACUAAGGGGAAGAGCUGGGGUAAUGAAAAAAGGCGGGCGGUUAGAUUGAAACCGAGAGUGACAGAGACACACUGGGUAUUUUUUAAUUCCCAAGUUACAGCCUGUUUAGCAUGAAAUUCCCUCUUUUUGUUUCACUGGUGGAUCCAGGGGUGGAGCCAGAGGGGCACUGAAAUCUGAUUGGCCCCUGAAGUGGCCCUGUCCUGUCACUCAUAGCUGAUCCGUGUCAGAGCACUCCAGGAGUCUCCUGCAUAUUGAUAGCAGCUCCCUGACGCCCGCAAAUUAUAUACACUAUUCUGGAAAUCGAUUUUUUUUUUUUUUUUUAGAUUGAGCGAGAGAGACCAGAAAAUUUCUGAUAGUAGACGGGCUCCGGAGAAACCUAUAGAGCAAGUGACAGAGAGCGUAUCCUGAUUGGUGUUUUAUUUCUGCUACCUAGACCAAUCAGUUUUCUCUGUGGGCGAGCUUUACAGUCGACCUCUCGCAGUUCAGUGUACCAAAAAAGAAAAUACAAACGUACGUCACCCCAGACUAGACUAAAGUGUACCCCUCCUUCAUAGGAGUCAAAAAUAAUGACAGUUUUGCUCGCUGCGGUGACUUUUCGAUUUAGGUUGGUGGUGUGUGCAGUUAGGUGGGCGCUGGUGAGAUGAGAUUUCCGUGGGCAAGGGGGAACCUGCUUGGGGAGUGCUGGAGGUUGGGUAAAUUGAGGUUUUAGGGGGGUGGCGGAUUGGCUCAUGAUGGGGUGCAGCUUGGGGGGUGCUGGUGGUUGAUGAGAUGGGGUUUUUGAUGGGUUUGCGGUGGUGGUGGAGUACUUCCCUGAAUUGAGUUUUUGCAGGGUGGAAUGUCUGCUACCUCAUCUCAUAAUGUCCACUUCAAUGUGGUAGCUGGGACGUGCACAGAGACUUCAACAUGGAGUUCUGACUGGAAUGGAAUGCAGCAAAGCAUUAUUGUUAAUAGCUUCAGAUGAAGACAGCCAGAGUGUUAGUGAAGGGGGUCAUGAUCCACCAUCUUCAGAACCAGGUAGUUCUUCUGGCCCAGUAGGACCUGAUGGUAUGCUACUGUUUUCAUACUGCAAUUGUAAUGAAUACAAUCAAAAUCGUAAACUCUUGGAUCAACAAUUGGAUAGUUACUGCAUGUCUUGAUGACAGUGGGUUCAUGAAAGUCUAAAGCCAGUCACCCUGGUGUUUUUUUCAUUUGCUUCUUUCUAGACAUUUCCCAGUGAAGAGCAGUUACUUCUGUCCAGACAUCAAAGAAGUAUUCUGCUCCCCUAGGACAAGCUUUGACUGUAAAUGUUUACUCCAAAUCCAGAAAGGGCUUGAACUUUAAGGAACAUUUAAGAAGGUAUACUGUGUCAAAACGCUAGAGCCAGCAGGAAAGAGGUAAAAUGUAUGUAAAACUUAUUAAGUCAAUAAUUAGACAUGAUUUUUAAGUCAAUAAUUAGAUUUACAUUAUACUUGGCCCCUCUCUGUAAAGUGUGGCCGCACUAAGGCCCCUGCUUCUAAAAAUGCUAGAUCUGACAGUGUUUUGUUUUCAUGGAUUGAAAUUCCUCAAGGAUCUGUGGUGGAGUGGUGUGUAGGUCUUUUAAUGUUAUCUGGCUUUUGCUACUCAAGAUAUGCUUAGAGAAAAUUGUGUGUGUGUGUGUGUGUGUGUGUGUGUGUGUGUGUGUGUGUGUGUGUCUGUAGACUCAUCCAGGGCAAGAGGAAAAGAAUCUGCCGAAGUUAUAUCCUGGCUGUUUUCCCUCUGUCUCACAUGCCAUCAUGUCAUGCACUGUUUGGGCUGACAGGGGCACGUAUUAUAUUUUCUGCAUGACUUUCUGCUUGUUCGGGAAAUCCGCAAACAGUUCAGUUGCCAUACUCGACAUGCAUGACUUUACAUAGCCUCCGUCAGUAAAAGUUUUCCUUAUCUUAUAAUCUCCAAUGAGCCAGCAACACUUGCAGCAUUCAGGCUUCCAGUUGCCCUUGUCCGGAUUGAAGUUUACGUUGGAGCUUCGUGCACGCCUUCCUUCGGCUUUUGCCCACCGGGUACUUUGUUGCAAAAGCAAAAUGUCUCUUAACCCUCUUACCCCUAAGUUCCCACAGUAUUAUGUCCCACAACCCUAUAUUCCCCAUAGAAACAGCACGCCAACCCUGAGUUCCUGGACCAAAAUUGGCCCCAAAAUCAACAUUUUAAUUGUAACAUUUUUAGGCCUUGAAAUAUUUACAUUUACAUUUACAUUUACAUUUAUUCACUUAGCAGACGCUUUUAUCCAAAGCGACUUACAAAUGAGAAAAGAUACAAGCAAAAUAACUGAUAAUAAUUUAUUUGUGUAAUAUUACUUUGAAAAUGAAGAAGUUCAGUGUUUUUACUAAACUUAGAGCACAAUUCUUAACUAGAGAAAUUACGAAAAAUGCUCGCUAAAAUCCUUAUACUCCUUUAGAAGUACCAUACGAGCAUCAGCAUGGUCAAUGCCUUUCAAUAAAUUCAAGUAAAUAAUAAAUAAAUAAAUAAAUAAAUGCAUUUUAGCGCCAAAAGUCAACUUUCUGGUGAUAAUCAGACCAGCAGGUAGUGUUUUCACGAAUGCACAGAAAUGGUCACGUUAUGACUCCAAACCCCUGCAGUGUCAGUCGCACUGGUUGAUGCUGAAGAUGAAGACAAAUCAGGGUCUGAAUCAGGAGAGUUUGCGUCACUAUCAGUUUCGGUUUCGGUUUCAACAUUGCCUGAACUUUCACUGCUGUCACUAUCUAGAAUCCGUGCUCUGGCCUGUGUAACUGUGUAUGUUUUCUUUUUUUCACUGUUUUAGAUGUACCUGUGUUCACUGUAGGUGUAACUUUAGCUGGAAUACGAUUAGCUUUUCGCUUUGGCAUUUUUAGUUAACUUCUACUAUUACACCAAUAUUCACGCUUGGAUCACCUUCAUCGUAAUGACGGCAUAAUAACGUAAUCAUGUCGUGACGUCAUGACGUUGUCAACCUUCCAGGUCAAAAAAUAAUAAUUAAAUAAGUAAGGAAUCAUAGCAGAGUAAUGUCGCUAUACCGGCCUUACAGGGAUAACAUUUACACUGUAAAGCCACUAUAUCGGCCUUACGGUGAUUUGGCAUAGACGACCAAGCCGGUAUAUCGUCCUUACGGGAAUAGAUCAAAGACGGGCAAGCCGGUUUUUCGGCCAUACAGGGUAAGAGGCUUAACAGUUCCUUUUUUUAAAUGAUGCAAUACAUUCUGUGCAAAUCAGACACAGCAGAGCACCAGAGCUUUCAAUAAAAGCACAUGUUUCCGUCCAGUCACUUUGAAAUUUUCUAUGCUCCUCUGAAUUCUUUCUUUUCACCAUCUCCACAAACUAGCUAGGUAGUUGCUUGAAUCUGAGUGCGAAAGAUUAUCAUAGAAACAUAAGUGGUUUGCCAUUAAUUGGUGUCGCGUCACAUGCACACAGUACUGCAUACUGUAUGUGCACUGGCUCGAACAACUUGAAAUAUAUUGCUGUAAACUGACUUUUCCUUAACUUCUGAAGGCUGCACAACAAAGGAAUUGUAAUUCACUUUGCAUUUUUUUUUUUUUGCAGGAAACUGAUCUCUGGUGGUGUGUCUAAAUUUUUAACAAUCAUAUGUUGGUGAAGGGUGAGACACCUGGCAAGCCACAUGAUAUUUCUCAAAGAGCCACAGGUUCCCGACCACUGCCCUGGACGGUCUGGCAUGUGUCAAUAAAUGUUUUAUUGGUACUUUUGACAAUUGUCAUAUUUUUUGAGUACUUUUUAAUAGGGCUGCAACUAAUGAUUAUUUUCAUAAUCAAUUAUUUGGCCAAUUAUUUUUUCCAUUAAUCGGAUGGGGUGGGGCUUUUUUUGUUUAUUGAAAAUUAAAUCCACAAACGGAGUGUUACAAAUAUAAACUUCAGACUAAAACUUUACACAACUGUUUGUCCAAAACAGAAAAGAAUCCAAUACACACACACACACACACCAAAAUAUUCAUUAUUAAUCUAUGUAGUUUAAUUGGGUGCUUUUUGUGCAUCCAUAAACAUAAUGUGUGUGUAUAUAUAUAUAUAUA